CAUCCACUUUAAAAAUAGUGGAGACUCCAUUAACCAGAAAUAUGUAACUGCAUAAAUAUGUAAAUAUGUACCAGCUGCCCACAUACCGGCUUCUUGAACUAAACCUUUCAUUCCUAUUUAUAUCAAAGUGCGAAACAUCAGGUUGAAUUACGAGAGGCAACUGAAAUCUUAUGUAAAAUCAAGAUUGGCUCCAUCAUUAAAAGCGUCGGCUCCGCAAAAGAAAUAAAUGUCAAUGCCAACGUUGUGUGUGGCAGGUGACAUCAUUUUUAUCGAGUUCAUAAUAAUAAUCCACGUACAUAUGCAUGCAUGUUGUUGGUUGGUUGCACUUAUCUUUCUUGGCAUCGCCAAUCGCCAUUAGUGGAUUUUUUUAAACGCAGAGAAAAAGUUUGCAAUUUUGACGCGAGUGCACUAAAUUAAAUUUGCUGUCACCACUACAAUUUUCCCACUAAUGAAUUUUCACCGCUGUUACGCUUGCAGUUCUGAACGAAGUUCAGACUACGCAACACUUUCGAUGUUGGCAGAAGAAUAAAAGUUGUGUCUAGACUGGUGCAUAGUAAUUCACAAAAGUUGUAAAAAAACAACGAUAGGCAAAUAUGACAUCCAAACCACCACCACCAACACUUCAAGUGACAUCGCUGGAUCAUCUUGUUUCUGCCGUGAAUAACAAUGAACUUCUUGAAAAAUCUUCUCCAGCUCGGAUUGACUACGGAUUCGUAAAUUGCAAAACGGAAGAAGACGAAGAAGAUUUAUUCAACGUCUACACGGCACUUCUGCAAGUCCUGAAAUGCGACAUAAACGCACUUCAUGCUGCUUGUGGUCAGGGAAAGCUGGCGGAGUAUAUCGAGUCCGAGUUCAAAAAAGCUAAACAACUCGACGGAAACAACUACUAUGCGACGUGGUUCAUGCAAAAUAAAAAUUUAGUGAAGAAUCCGUACUCAAAAAAGUAAAACAGCAUGUCGUACUUCUUUGUAGUUCGUAGUAAUUAAAUAACCAACAGAACAAAUGUACAUAAGUAAUUAUUUUAAAUAUAAAUACAAUUUUCAGGAAACCUUUUAAA